ACCUGAAGAGGCGGAGGGACAAAGAAACCCGCCACGCGAAUCUGCCGAGUCUCCCGCCGCAAGCCCAAAAGUAGCCAAUCACGGGCGCGAAGCUCAGUGACGUCAUCGGCUGCUGAGCAGAGUCCCGAGCGGCGGCGCGUCCCGGGCCGGGAGUCGCGGGAACUUGGCGCGCGGGGAGGGAGGGGCCGGCGCUGCGCCCCGGUGCUAGGUCGGGUCGGGGGGUGCGGGCCGGGGGUGCGAGACCAGGCAAAGAAGUGGGCCUGAAGAAAGGGGACGGGACGAGGGGGGAAUUGUGGACUCCGAAGGAACUGGAGAAGGGACAGGUUGAGGGGAAGAGCGAGGGAGGGGAGGGAGGGGAUGGCGGGGGUGGGCGAGGCGGAGGAAGAGGGUUAGGGCCCGAGAGAGCGCCUCAAAGGGUCACCGGCCUCCCCUGGUCCUCACACACAUUCUCCAGGAGAUUGGAGAAAACACUCUCUUCCCCAAGAGGAGAAGCACAUUGCCCAAAUGGGGAGGGAGAGGAGAGACAGCAAAAGCCCGGAACCCCUGCAGAGAAAUAGUCAGCAAAGGGGACGGGAAAGUGCUGGUGAAGGGAGGCAAGAAGGCUGAGGCUGCCAGGAGAGGCGGCCGGUGCUAGCACAAGGGCUCUCAGACCCCGCAGUGCCCCCCACCCACGGGGAGGCCAGGCACUGGCCCUGCUGCUUUCUGUGGACUUCAAGGCUGGAGGCAACCUGACGCUGGACCCAGGACCCACAGUGUUGAGAAAAGCUUUGGCGGAGCCGGCGGGUGGAUCUCCACUCCAGAUUUUCCAGCUGUCCCUGCCCCCCCACCGCUCGGGAGCAGGAUGCCGAGAUGGCUGGUGAUGCAGAAGGAGAAUCACUGGCACACAGGGACCGGGGUGCCAGGCCAUGGGUUCUGGGACCAUGGUGGUUCCCUCCUUCUCCGAGAACACGAAAAGGCAGACUGACCCACAUGUCCACGAGGAAAUGUCCUGCUGUCCACUAAGGAAAGGUGCCUGGCUGUGAAGUGAGGAAAGGAAUGGGCCCGAACGGUCAGUCCCUGUCCAGCGCACCCAGGGCGGCUGUGGGCCAUCAGCUGGGGCUGACGCCGACUUGUGCUGCCCCAGGAGAGAGGAUGGACUGAACUUUCCAGCUGGUGGAGUCCUUCAGAGAGUGGACGCUUCCCCUGUGUCUUAGCUGGGAGCUGCAUCUCGGCCAGGUUUGAUAGAACACCUUUAACAGUGCAGCUCUAGGAGCCUCUCAUUAACACACAGUUCCAGAAGGUUCCAGGACGGCGGGUCCCAGCUCUGGUUGUAGAAGCUCUGCUUUCACUGAACGUAGAUGAUGGCUGGAGCUGUCCCUUCUCAGGUGUGUGUGCCUGAGAUAAAGCCGCCCCCCCCACCAGAGGCAGAGCCUGGGAUGAGAUGGCACUUGGCAGUGGGGCACGUGGGUCUGCCUUGGGCUUCAGGACAGGACAGCGUACCCAGAGCAGCAUUAGUGUCCUUGGUGCGCACAGUUCCAGCUGGAGGGGUUCCACGGAGAGCAGCCACAACGAUCCAGUUUCUGCCCCGCAGAGCUUGCGUUUCGGCGGGUAGGACGGACAGACGCGGGCCUCAUGCGUCCGUACGGCGACGGCGAUAGCGCGGGUAUUGCCGAGAGCGGAGGCGUCCGAGCAGCGGCUUCUCUCCUUCGGUUACGUGGCUUCGUGCUUCGAAGGCAUCGGCUCUCGUAAUACCGCGUGGAUUGUGCGCUCUCGGCCUUGGACAGGUUAAGAGACGGGCCCACGGGCCCACGGGGUCGGGCAGGGCUUUGACCCCGCAGCGUGGUCCAGAGCCCCGUGUGCUUCUUUGCACAGGCUCGCCCGUUGAGAAGUCCUGGGUGUGAAGGGAACGAACCAUAGGAGCCGCAACCCGGACUCAGGCCGCAGGACUUGAAAACACUUUUGGAGAAAGUGAACUGUUUAGAAGUGGGAAUUCGUGCAGUGCGGGAGGGUGAAGGGCCGGGCGUGCCGAGUGGCCUGGAGCUUAGCGUGCCCCGUCCGAGGGAUAUGGGGAAAGGCCUGACCACAGGGCACCGAGGUAAGGCGGCGACCACACACCACCAGCCAGGGGCCCGUGCACGUGCGGAAGACGCACUGAGAACACACGCAAACAUGUAUAUGGUCCAGGAGCCGGGAAGGCUUUAGGACCUGCUGCUCGCCGGCCGACCACUGCCUUGCCCGCUGUCCGUCACCGUCCCUCCCCUGCUCUCCGUUGGUACGUUGUGAGGCAGCCUCCACAGAGCAGACCAGAUGAAACCAUGGCAGGAGGGGUGACAUUCGGAGGAAAUGAACAAUUCUCCAGUGACUCUAACCUGGAAGGAUUUGCUAGGCCUGAACCACAUCCUUCCUGAAACUCCGGCGUUCCGGGACUCCCCCGGCUCCCGCGCCUUCUCCCUCCGCUCCGGCGUUUCUCUGGAGGUCCCCCUUGCUGACUCCUCCUCUUCGUCCCAACUGCAAGCUGGCCCAGCUCCAGGGGCUCGCAGGCCUGCCCUCUCUCAUUCGGAGAGCCCCAUCUGCUGCUCUCACCGGUUCUAUACCAUCAAUUACCACCUGGAUUCUGAAGCCGCCCACGUCAUUACCUGGAGUCCCGACCCUUCAUCUCAGCUCCAGGCUCGGAUACAGUGAGGCAGCUCCAUGUGCACACGUCACAGGGCCCUUAAACCCGAGGCUUCGCUUCCAGCGCUGAAGCCGCUUGCUCCCCGAUCCCCAGGGACUCUGCAAUGAGUCCGCCCCUUUCUCUGCAAUGACCCCAUCAUUCACCCGCUUUCCUGAGCCAGAAACCUGAGACUGAUUCUUGACUCCUAUCUCUUUGUGCUUAUAGCAGACACAUGUCGUGUGUAUGGGUGGCUAACGUCUUUUAAAUAAUUCACAUACAGAAGUUCACCUCCGCAUUCAGAAGUCAAACUCUCCAUCCACCGGCAGCCCAGAAGCACACUCACGGGCGCAGGCUUGCCCGUUCCUUCCUUCCCAGCGAGGCUGGACCUGGAGGUCAUCCCCCAUGAGAACCAGGCUUCACAUGGGGCUUCCGGCUUGCUGAUGCGCCCAGCUUGUAGGGGACAGCAGCGAUUACAAGGUCGAAUCCCUGCUCUGGAGGUGGCAUUAGGACGACAAGUUUCGGGUUAAAGGGCCGCAGGUCUGGCCAUCCUGUGUGGAGCCGCGGAAGUAGUGUGCUUGUUUACUCUGCUUUGCUGGCUGGUUCGGGGCAUCCUGGCAGGUCGGGGGUGGGUGAGAUGAUGGGCGCAGGGUGGUGGGCUUCUCUGAGUUUGGGCUUGACCAUCAGGCAUCCCCAUGAUCGGAGAGGUUAAUCGUCUCUAAUGAUGCUGCUUUGUAUAUGUGCAUUAAAUCAUCACAUUGUACACCUUGAAAAAAAUCACAUUGUGCAAAAAAAAAUUUCUUUUAAUAAAAUAAAAAUUGGUCAGAGUAGAUCCGUGGUUUGCAGUAGAAUCUUUGGCCGUUCGAGACGUUUGCUUCCCGUCUGGUGGAGAGUGGAGCUGAGCACCGGCUGCAUGAGGGGCCUGGGGCAUCAGCUCGAAAGGGUGGAUUUACUUCUGUUUUGCUGUCACUUUAAGCUGUGUCUCGGCGACCCUGUUGUCCCUCUUAAGCUUUAGCCUCCCUGGCAGUUUCCCGGCUGAUUUGUGACA